rnacentral:snRNA from 1 species
AUUACUUUUCAGCUUUUUGGCUAAGAUCAAGUGUAGUAUCUGU